GUGCAGCAGGCGCGAAAAUUUUGCAAUGCGCGCAAGCGUGACAAAGUCAUCCCGAGUGCCACCCGCUGAGGGUGGCUUUUCCACAGUCUAAAAAGCUGUGGGAAUAAGGGGAGGGUAAGUCGGGUGUCAGCCGCCGCGGUAAUACCCGCUCCCCGAGUGGUUGGGACGAUUAUUGGGUCUAAAGCGUCCGUAGCCGGCCGGAAAAGUCCUCCGUCAAAUCCAACGAUCCAAUCGUUGGGCCGCGGUGGAUACGUUCCGGCUCGGGGGCGGGGGAGGCCUGCGGUAUUCCCGGGGUAGGGGCGAAAUCCUAUAAUCCCGGGAGGACCACCAGUGGCGAAGGCGGCCGGCCAAAACGCGCCCGACGGUGAGGGGCGAAAGCUGGGGGAGCGAACGGGAUUAGAUACCCCUGUAGUCC
rnacentral:rRNA from 1 species